CAGGUCCUACGGGAGGCAGCAGUAGGGAAUCUUCCACAAUGGACGAAAGUCUGAUGGAGCAACGCCGCGUGAGUGAAGAAGGGUUUCGGCUCGUAAAGCUCUGUUGGUAGUGAAGAAUGAUAGAGGUAGUAACUGGCCUUUAUUUGACGGUAAUUACUUAGAAAGUCACGGCUAACUACGUGCCAGCAGCCGCGGUAAUACGUAGGUGGCAAGCGUUGUCCGGAUUUAUUGGGCGUAAAGCGAGUGCAGGCGGUUCAAUUAGUC
rnacentral:rRNA from 1 species